rnacentral:sRNA from 1 species
AUAAACCGUUUGGAUCGGGUCUGGAAUUUCUGAGCGGUCGCGAGUUC